rnacentral:lncRNA from 1 species
GAACUUGUUUAUGAAGUGCCAUAGAGAGACCAGGGUGUCCUUGGGGUCGCGGCACACGUACACGACCUUGCAGCCGCCGCCGGCGACAGACCCCGGCAGCGCCGCGAAGGGGACGUGCGUGGAGAAGAGCCUCGGAUCCGGGAGGUCGCCGAUGUCGGGGACUCUACCGCAAGUGUAGUAGAUCUGGUACUCCAAGUUCUGGACGCACUCGUGGGGGCCGAAGGAGUGGAAAGGGUGGUCGGCGGCGUCCGGAGGGUGCUCCCGCCGGCGCACGGUGGCGUAGAGGAGCGCUUCGGUCCACGUGGUGCCGGUCUUGGGCAGGCUGGCGAGGACGACGUCCGUGGGCCGCGCGGCGAAGCGGGCGCCGGCGACCAUGGCACCGACCAUGGGCAUCUGGCCGGCGCGCCAGCCUUGGCCGUGGAGGUAGAGCCGCUGGAGCGACAGGCCAUCGGAGCUCGGCAGGGAGGAGACCAGGUCGGUGAAACGCUGGUAGAGUUGCUGGUUGGUUUCCUCCGCUUGCGCAUCGGCUUCUUGCUGGGGAACGGUUUGCACGGAGAACGACAUGGCGAGUUGGCGAGUCGUGGCACCUUUGAUUCUUUGUAUAAACAUAUGCAAGGGUAAGGCGUCUGGUACUCUAGCUUGUUGAUGGUUCGGUAAAGGUGCCUUGGUGGCCUGGUAGAGGAAGCAAACCCCGGCGAGAGGCCUGUGAUUAUAUUCCACGAGGCUCUCAUAGCACGGGCUGGGUAGGCAAGCGGCGGAAUAAUAAAAAAACCACGUGCAACCACGUGAGGUGACGGCGCAGUCGUGGAUCCCUCGUCCAGUUCCCUUCCCUCACAAUAGCAGAUGAGAUGUGAGGAAGAUGCAGAAGAUCACCCGUAUCUUUUCCCAGUAGUACUCACCGUACACCCGCAGGCACAGCACACCACGAGGCCUGUGAUUAUAUUCCACGAGGCUCUCACCGUACACCCGCAGGCACAGCACGGGCCGGGGUAGGCAAGCGGCGGAAUAAAAUAACAAACCGUACGUGCAACCACGUGAGAUGAUUGACAAUAAUGCGUUGCCAACGCCACAGCAUGAGCUCGGAUAUGACGCGCCGCCGAUGCGCCGCAACAUCAGGCUGCCAUCUCUCGUAUCGUAUCCAUGGAUGCUACCUGAACUGCUAGAAGCAGUUUGUCCAACUUCUUUUCGUGACGGUUCUGAUCGAUCCAUUGCAGUUGCAGAGGAAGAAAUUACACGUAGAAUUGUGCAGUGGCUCCGCGGUUGAGGGGAUAUAAGAGAAGGGGAUCCAACAUCCGCAGCAUGCACGUAGAUGCCCCCUGGCACCUAGAGGUGAUCUAGAAAACAUUAAUAUGUAGAGUUUUUUCAUAGGUGGCAUUAAUUUCUUCCCUUCUUUGUACGGCACCUUAAUUUUGCUCAAGUUUCCGCAAGUGACACGUGCAUGCUCCAGCAUACAGUAUUCUCCACGUCUACGGAUUAACAUGGAGCGCCUCCAAAAGAAAGAGGAAGCGAGAGAGGCGCACAAAAUAAGCAACUUUUUACCCCCAACAUUAUUAUUUAUACAUAUAUACUAUUAAUUAUUUUCUCUUGCUUUAAUUUGUACUACUAGUAUCGUGAUUAUUCGAAUCAGAUCAGGGCUAGAUGUGGCUUGGAUGAAGAAGCACCAUGCACGUUGCGGAACUACUGAGAAGUAAGUCCAUGCAUGCACAACUAGAGGAGUCAUAAAAUGUACAGAUAGAGCCUUUUGUACACACUGGAAUCGUCAAAACGUACGUGCUUGUGUACUGUUCCCAUUUAUUGGGUGACGUAACUCAAGGCUUUGAUGAUACUUUAAACAUGUAGGCCACGUUAUUUUAUACGUAAAACGUAUUACUUUAGUGGAUGUUGAAAAUAGUCUGUACAGCUUUUACCAGCCUGGGGCCUUUCUUCUUUUUUUUUGGGACGGCUAAGUUAUAAUGAUCUUUUGCUAAAAUUUUCGUUACCAUGAGGGCCUUUCUUCUUUUUUGUAUGGUUCUUUUGCAGUUCCCUGGGCCGAAAGGUGUGCAGCGCUCCAGCCAUUUACUUCUUCCUCCACAGUCUGUCCUUUUGGCCAGCCCAAUAAGCGACGGAGCUCCAAGACGUUCAUGGGCUCAUGAGACCUGCUGCAUGCAGUUUAUCAUGCACGCACCACCAACCCUCAGCGCUUCACCUUCCCUGUCGAAUUUUUUUAUUUUUAUAUUUUUUUUGAUUUUGCAGAAAUAUAUAGUCGGAUGGAAAAAUUGCAGAUUGGGCUAUUGCCGCCGGCCCAGGCGGCGGAAGGGCCUUGCCACCACCUCAGCCGGCGGUAAGGCCCCCCGCCAACGGUCAGCAACCGGCGUAACUGCGGGCGCGUGAGUCGAGGUGUUACCGCCGCCUGGGCCGGCGACAGUCACCCCUUUAUAACCCGCCCGCGUCCCUCCCCUCUCCCCGCACCAGUGCGCGCCCGCAACAAGCCUGAGAAGGGAGAGGGAAGAGAAAGAGGAAAGGAGGGAAGGAAAAAAAAGAGAGAGAGGAGAGGAGGAGGAGGGAAGAAAAAAAAAGAAAGAAAGGAGGAGGAGGUGGAAUAGGGAAGAAAUUUCUUCUGUCUUUCGUAGGUAAUUUUUUUUAAUCUCGUAGUUUAGUUUAGUUUAGAUCUAGAUUUAGAAAUAUUAGUCUAACUGUUAGAGGGUGUUUGGCAGCACUCUUUUUUAGAAAAAACAGGUCCACUUUACCAACUCUACAAAAUUACUUGUCAAACACAUCUAGCUCCACAAACUUCAGCUUCAGAAAAAAUAUGGAGCUAGGGGUCAGAUCCACAUUUUUCCUGAAGUACUUCAGAGGGUGCUCUAAAAACAUCAGUUUCGGACUUCCUCGUGGAGUUAGGGGUUAUUUAUCCACCUUUGCCACUCGUUACACAGCAUAACGAUUCUUCUUUGGUUGCUUGUAUCAUUUGGUUCAUGCAUGAAAUGGUUCAUCAAAAUAAUGAUCCUUUUGUUUGGUAGGGUAUAUUGUAUCAACUCAUCCAUAAUAAAGUCAUCCCAUUUAAUUUAUUAUUCUACUAAGCAAAUUGAUUAAACACCACCAUCAUACAUGCAUCAUAUGGUGCAUGCAACCACGCACACCUAAUUUUUCUUUCCGCUCACUGUCUCCGUUGCCCCCCACCUCCCGUGGAAGCACGCCGGCGGUGGCGUUUCGCGGCCACGAGGAAGCGCCGCGUCGACGCGGGGGAGCUGCUCGUGGCGCGGAAGCACGGGGUGGCCGGCCGCAGCAGGAAGAUGGAGGACGCCGUGUCCGUGCGCGAGGCGUUCGUCGCGCCCUCCGCUGCUGUGGACGAGCGGCGCCCCGCCGUCGGGAGCGGGAGGUGCGAUUUCUACGGGGUGUUCGACAGCCGUGGGAGCGGGAGGUGCGAUUUCUACGGGGUGUUCGACGGCCACGGCUGCUCCCACGUCGCCGAGGCGUGCCGGGACCGGAUGCACGACCUGCUCGCCGAGGAGCUGUCCGCCGGCGACGAUGAGGCGGCGCUGCCGCGGGAGCCUGCGGCUUGGACCGCGGCGAUGGAGCGGUGCUUCGCGCGGAUGGACGCCGAGGUGACCUCCGCCGGCGGCCGCCAGCGCCAGCUGCCGCUGCGACGCGCACAAGUGCUCUGCCGCGGCGGCGGUGCGGCGCCGGUGCCGCUGUCCUCGGACCACAAGCCCGACCGGCCCGAUGAGCAGGAGCGGAUCGAGUCCGCGGGCGGGCGCGUCAUCUUCUGGGAGGGCGCGCGGGUGCUGGGCGUGCUGGCCCGCGCCAUCAGGGACGGGUACCUCAAGCCGUACGUGCCGUCGGUGCCUGAGGUGACGGUGACGGACCUCGCCGAGGACGACGAGGAGCGCUUAGAUUAAUUAUUAUUAUGGUGUAACCGGAAUUCGAUCCGGAUACCAUUUGGGAUGAAAAAAGGUGUUCAAAUCAUCUAAGGCUGAGAUGGUCGGUCAAGAAGAAUUCGAUGCGGAUCCAAUCUGGAACGAAGCCUCACUAGUCUGCUUUUUUUUUAUCUUCAGUAGAACAUUUGGUUGAACAUUUUAGUCAUUGGAGCAUUAUUCGAUGGAAUAUCACAUUUUAUAUCUUGCUAUGCUCAUUGUUCAGCUAGUUUUUAUUUUUUUUCCCGAGUACUGUAGCGAUAGUACCGUAGCAGCGGCAAAAAAACAAAAUACAACUGUGCGUAAUGCUUAAAACACAACUAGGCAUCCAUCAUGAGCAAAAUAGAACAUUCCCACCAAAUCCUCAUAUUUCUAAAGCUGGAGCACUACAAUCUGCCAAACACGUACAACAACUUCAUAUUUUUUUAGAGUUGGUGGAGUGAACCUGGGAAAGUGUAGAGCUGGUGGAGUGCAGCUAUUUUUUAUGAGGUGGAAUGCUGCAUGCAACUGUCAAAAUCGACCGUCAUGUGUCGCUCCUGCCUUGCAUCAGUAAUUAUAAAUUAGAGUGUAUUUUUUAGAAAGAGGAAUAAUCUCCUGCCUCUUGCGACAUACUUCCCCGUUCUAAAUUGUAGGUUAUUUUAACGUUUCUAGAUGCAUCAAUUUUACUACAUAUGUAGACUCUGCGUAACAAAAAUCAUGCAUUUUUUUUAAACCAACCUGCAAUUUGAAAUGUAUGAAGUGAAUUAGAGUAGUGCAUCUAUAACUACAGUACACCCGCAGGCACAGCACGGGCCGGGUAGGCACGCGGCGGAAUAAAUAACAACCGUACGUGCAACCGUACGGUCCAGCGUUUCCCUCCUGAUCGAUACAUUGCAGAGGAAGAAAUUACAUGCAGAAUCGUGCAGUGGCUCCGCGGUUGAGGGGAUAUAAGAGAAGGGGAUCCGCAACAUGCACGUAGAUGCCCCCCUGGGUCUGGGAAACGGGAAAGGCGGGAAGGUAACUGGCGCCCGCGCAGGAAUUUUAAUGGGCCGGGCCGAGAAGGACUGAAGGAGCCAAUACUGUGAGCCUGAGUCAGGUGAGGUCCGCUCGUCCCAGGCCAUGUUUAGUUACCCCCAAAUUCCCAACUUUGGCACUAUGCAAAAAGAAGAUUCCCCCUCACAUCAAACUUGCGGUACAUGCAUGGAGUACUAAAUGUAGACGAAAUCAAAAACUAAUUGCACAGUUUUGUUGUACUUUGCGAGACGAAUCUUUUGAGUCUAAUUAGUCAAUAUUUGGACAAUAAUUCACAAAUACAAACGAAAUACUACAGUUGCGCAUUUAUGACAAAAUCCCAACUUUGGCACUCCCAAAUUGGGAACUAAACAAGGCCCCACUGAGCUCCUGAGAGGCAGAGACCAUCUUUUUCCGGUUGGAGUUCAUGCUUCUCCAUUAAUCAUCUUUACCAUUAUUAGGAAUGAAGACAAAUGCCGGCAAAAGGAUGACAACAAUAUUUAACUAAUGUUAAGUUCAUUGCACAUUUAGAUUUAAUAGAUUAAAGCUGCAAUUUAAAUGUCAUUUUGAUGUAAUAUGAAGUAAAAAUAAAAAAGAAAAGGAAAUAACACUAGUUACACAAGGAUGGGUAAUUUAUUCUGACCACAGGAAAAAAAAACAACAAAACAUGCUACGUCCCCUACCCAGAGAUGAUAUAGAUGGAACAUAGUUUGGAUUGGUCGAGCCUAUUUCCACAAUGUAUAGCAAGGCAACGUAAUGACAAAGUGGAAUAUGGUUCUGUUUGGCUGCAGAUGGCUAAAGUUUAGCACCUAUCACAUCGAAUGUUUGGAUGCUAAUUAGGAGUAUUAAACAUAGUCUAAUUACAAAACUAAUUGCACAAAUGGAGUCUAAGUCGUGAGACAAAUCUAUUAAGCCUAAUUAGGCUUAAUAAAUUCGUCUCACGAAUUAGCACAGGGUUAUGCAAUUAGUUUUAUAAUUAGUUUAUGUUUAGUUCUCCUAAUUAGCAUCCGAAUAUCCGAUGUGAUAUUGCUAAACUUUAGCACCUGGUAUCACGAACAGCUGAAGAUCAAGGACGACGCUAGACGAUGAGACCGGAGCCCUCGAACUUGGAGCGCGUGAUGUCGUCGAUGCGCCGCGCCGUCUCCGGUGAGAGGUGGUUCACCCAGUCCCCCACCACGCCACGCCGGAAGAAGAUGCUGUUCUCCACAGAGCUGGUCCCCGCCACCGUCCUGCCGCUUUUCGUCGCCUCAAGCCCGCACAUGUGCUCGAAAGCGCACAGCCUGACGAUGGCGUCCGCCGUGCCGUCCUCGCCAGCGCCGCCGAACGGGAGCCCCACGAACUCCGCCAGCCGUCGGACGUGCGCCGCGGGGUCCCUCAUCAUCUCCUCGUACCGGAAGAAGAUCACCCGGUCGGGCCGCGCCAGGUGCGCACGCCAGUACCCGAGCACGUGCUCCCAGUACGGGCCGAACGGCGACUCGCCGGCGCAGAACAUGUCGGCGGCGACCUCGGCGGAGAGGAGCCCUAUCCCCUCCUUGGCCCUGAACUUGUUUAUGAAGUGCCAUAGAGAGACCAGGGUGUCCUUGGGGUCGCAGCACACGUACACGACCAUGCAGCCGCCACCGGCGACAGACCCCGGCAGCGCCGCGAAGGGGACGUGCGUGGCGAAGAGCCUCGGAUCCGGGAGGUCGCCGAUGUCGGGGACUCUGCCGCAAGUGUAGAUCUGGAACUCCAAGUUCUGGACGCACUCGUGGGGGCCGAAGGAGUGGAAAGGGUGGUCGGCGGCGUCCGGAGGGUGCUCCCGCCGGUGCACGAUGGCGUAGAGGAGCGCUUCGGUCCACGUGGUGCCGGUCUUGGGCAGGCUGGCGAGGACGACGUCCGUGGGCCGCGCGGCGAAGCGGGCGCCGGCGACCAUGGCACCGACCAUGGGCAUCUGGUCGGUGCGCCAGCCUUGGCCGUGGAG